GACACGGCUUCUGGCACCUUCCAAUUGCCAUCAUCUUGAAUCGGUGCUGGGAUGGCUCUUGUUCGAAAAUUAUAAAGCAAAGAAUCAUGCCACUCUGAUGCGAUUCAAGGAAAAAGAAAAACAUGUGUGAUCUUUUCAUAACGAUACUCGAGGGAAGAAAGAAGGAAAGUUGGACCUCUUAGGGGUGUUUUCUUAUCGAACAUUAAAGUUUUAUUGUCUAAGCGUCCCCGGUCAUCUUUGCAUGUCCGAGGGUUAGAUGGUAAACUUUAUUGAACGAAAGGAACUCCUAGCAGCAGCUUUUGUAUUCUGAUACAAUUCGUUAUACGAGAAAGUAUCUUGUGACAAAAAAAAAAAAAAAAAAAAACACCCGCGUUAUUUUGGCAAGUGUGUGUACUGUGAUUUUUAUUUUUUUUGACAGACUUGUAAUGUGUUUUUUUGAAUAUUACAAAGAUGGUUAGAUGAACCGUGCUUUUUUAAAUAUGAAAUAGUCAUUACAUUCACUA